GGCAAUAGCACACCGAUUUGGCUCAAAAACUCCCCGUUCGCACCAUUUCGCCUGUUUGUCCAUCCAAAAGGCCAUGAAAAUUUAAACAGACCAUACUGGAUGAUCCCUAACCUCCCUGGCACGACUCAGACGAUUUUUGGCCAACAGCACCCCUGGACCCUAGGCCCACCCCCAUAACUGUGGGCUUUAGCACACCAAUUUGCCCCGAAAAUGCCCCAUUCGCGCCGUCUCGCCCGUUAGUCCACCUUAAUGGCCACGAAAAUUUAAAUGGACCACACUGAAAUGAUCCCUAACCUCUCUGACAUGUCCUGUCAAUUUUUGGAUCACAGCACUCCCGGAUCCUAGGCCUACCCUCAAUACUGUGGGCUAUAGCACACCGAUUUGGCCCAAAAAUAUCUCAUUCGCGCCAUUUCGUAUGUUUGUCCACCCAAAUAAUCACGAAAAUUUAAAAUAAAAACAUCAGUACGAUCCCCAACCUCCAUGGCAUGCUUCGCUUAAUUUUUGGACUAUGGCACGCCCAAACCCGGGACCACGCCCAAAACCAUGGGCUAUUGCACGCCGAUUUGUUUCAAAAAUGCCCCAUUUGUGCCGUUUUGCCUGUUUGUCCACCUAAAUAACCACAAAAAUAUAAACGAACCACAUUGGGAUGAUCCAAACCUCUUUGGCAUGAUUCGGUCGAUUUUUGGCCCAGAGCACGCCUAAGCCCCAGGCCCACCCCCAAAACCAUGGGCUAUAGCACAC
rnacentral:lncRNA from 1 species